rnacentral:rRNA from 1 species
CGCGAAAAUCUCUUAGUCAUGAAAUCGAGUAGGACGGAGCACGAGAAACUUUGUAUGAAUAUGGGGGGACCAUCCUCCAAGGCUAAAUACUACUGACUGACCGAUAGUGAACUAGUACCGUGAGGGAAAGGCGAAAAGAACCCCGGAGAGGGGAGUGAAAUAGAUCCUGAAACCGUAUGCGUACAAGCAGUGGGAGCAGACUUUGUUCUGUGACUGCGUACCUUUUGUAUAAUGGGUCAGCGACUUAUUUUCAGUGGCGAGCUUAACCGAAUAGGGGAGGCGUAGCGAAAGCGAGUCUUAAUAGGGCGUCUAGUCGCUGGGAAUAGACCCGAAACCGGGCGAUCUAUCCAUGGGCAGGUUGAAGGUUGGGUAACACUAACUGGAGGACCGAACCGACUACCGUUGAAAAGUUAGCGGAUGACCUGUGGAUCGGAGUGAAAGGCUAAUCAAGCUCGGAGAUAGCUGGUUCUCCUCGAAAGCUAUUUAGGUAGCGCCUCAUGUAUCACUGUAGGGGGUAGAGCACUGUUUCGGCUAGGGGGUCAUCCCGACUUACCAAACCGAUGCAAACUCCGAAUACCUACAAGUGCCGAGCAUGGGAGACACACGGCGGGUGCUAACGUCCGUCGUGAAGAGGGAAACAACCCAGACCGCCGGCUAAGGUCCCAAAGUUAUGGUUAAGUGGGAAACGAUGUGGGAAGGCUUAGACAGCUAGGAGGUUGGCUUAGAAGCAGCCACCCUUUAAAGAAAGCGUAAUAGCUCACUAGUCGAGUCGGCCUGCGCGGAAGAUGUAACGGGGCUCAAACCAUACACCGAAGCUACGGGUAUCACGUAAGUGAUGCGGUAGAGGAGCGUUCUGUAAGCCUGUGAAGGUGAGUUGAGAAGCUUGCUGGAGGUAUCAGAAGUGCGAAUGCUGACAUGAGUAACGACAAUGGGUGUGAAAAACACCCACGCCGAAAGACCAAGGUUUCCUGCGCAACGUUAAUCGACGCAGGGUUAGUCGGUCCCUAAGGCGAGGCUGAAAAGCGUAGUCGAUGGAAAACAGGUUAAUAUUCCUGUACUUCUGGUUAUUGCGAUGGAGGGACGGAGAAGGCUAGGCCAGCUUGGCGUUGGUUGUCCAAGUUUAAGGUGGUAGGCUGAGAUCUUAGGUAAAUCCGGGAUCUUAAGGCCGAGAGCUGAUGACGAGUGUUCUUUUAGAACACGAAGUGGUUGAUGCCAUGCUUCCAAGAAAAGCUUCUAAGCUUCAGGUAACCAGGAACCGUACCCCAAACCGACACAGGUGGUCGGGUAGAGAAUACCAAGGCGCUUGAGAGAACUCGGGUGAAGGAACUAGGC